CGUCUCAACAUCCAUCGCUUCUCUAAAAAAAAGUGUUACAGAAACCCAACCAUCAAUUUUUAUUUGCACCGUCAAUCUUCUUCUUCUUCCUACCCUAUAAACAAUUUUUAACUGAUCUCUUCAUUUCCUCCCCAUGCAAUUUUCUUCUUCUUUUCGAUUCAACAUAGAUCCAGUGAUUUGCAAAAGUUUGAGAUUUAAUCACCAAGCCAACGUGCCAAGCAGCUUCCUUUCUCUUCCUCCAGCUCCAUGCUAAUCCGUAAGGAUUCGAUCAGUGCGAAGAAACAAAGCACUGGAUUUGGGAUCAGCAUGUGUGCAAGCUUCUAUGCGCAUCCCCUAAUCAUUCAGGUUCCAUCUCUUUUUGUUUCCUCUCUCUCAAUAUCGUGCAUCUUCCCUCAUGAAGAUUUAUGAUGCAUUCGUUGGAGCUGUUUAGUAGGUUCAGAGUUGCAGAAACAUGUGUCUAACAAAGAGAUCUCGAACUGGAUCCUGUGAGAUUAGUUGAAAUCAAUCAAGUAUUGGAAUCAAUCCGUCAAGCUUUUCACCACCAGGUUCCAUAUCUUUCUCAUUCACGAACUUCCUUUCAAUCUGAACCCAAUUUUUUUUAAUCAUGCUUUCGUUGGAACUGGUUGGUACUAAACAUGUGAGCUGCAGAAACUGGAUAAAGAUUAUUCUGAGUCUCUCAGAUGCUUAGUACAGCUACGUAAUCUUGCCUUCCCCUUCUCCCUAUCUUAUUUUGUUAUAAUUGAUAAGGUAAAAGCUUAAUAAUGUGAUUAUUAUCUUAUAAGUUGCAGGUAUGGGUUCUGUAAAAUCAGUAUAUGAAAUUCAUUGUAUAAAUUCUUUUGAUCCCGUGCAACAGGUCAAGUCAUGGUGGCGGUGGAUUCUGUGGUCCUCCAAUCGUCGGAGUAUACGUCUCCCCCCAUCUUCCCCACUCCGUUAUUUAUGGAAGACGGAUCUAAAGACAAAGUAAGUAAGAUGAGGAUGAAGUAUUUGUGUUCCAGUGAACAAAUAAUACUUUAGGAUGAAGAAGACAACCGAUCCUAGCUUGGUGUAUGCAGGGACUACAAUGUAAGUUCAGAUUUAUCCAUUGCAGUGAGCUAGAAGAAGCAGAGUUAUCUCUGUGUGAGACAAGUUCCUUGCACUACGAGGAGAGCUCGAUGUCUAUUAACUUGCUGUGUUAUAUUGAUUUUCUAAUAUAUUGUUCUUAAAGUAAAAUCUCUCCAGGGUCUAGAAGGUUCCAAGAUAUCCAAAGGAACCAGCCAAAAUCAGGCUUGCGAAGCAGACAUGGCUACCGAAAAAAGGGAACAAUAGACAGACUAGAUCGAUUCUGUCUUCAUGUCCAGACGAUCUCGCCCUCAGUUCAACCUAAUUCGGCGAAAGCAAUUGAGUUUUCCGGAGUUGGGCAGGAAAGUUUGCACAGAGAAGACUAACUAUGAAGGAAGAGAUCCAGAGAAGGACAAUACAGGCCGAGUGCUUGAUCUAACUAAAGGUAAGGAGAAAAAAAACUCAAAUGAACAUCAUCAUCACCGUCGCCAUCAUUCUGAUACUUCAUUUGAUAUCGUGAGUUCCAUCUUAUUUCUAUUACUAGGUCUCCUGGGUUUUGUCAAAGUAUUUGAUUAAAAGUUAUGGUAUCAACAUUACAGUCUGGAAUAUUUUUAAGUCGAACUAAUUGAUUCUACUAACAAAUCGCAAUGCUGUGAAUGGCUUUAAGCUAUUUAAAAUCAUCUAUCACGGUCCCAACAGCUGUUCUUCUUCUAGGAGGCUGCCUCUUCGCCUGUAAGUUAUUGAUCACAUGAUACACAAGAUUCUAAACUGAAAACCUAUGUUGGCCUACUUCCUUACUAAAUCACCAAAGACGAGAGUUCUUGGCGAUACCAUAGGACUUGGCUCUGCCUUUCUUUUCUCUUUGGUCUUUGGGUUUCGCUUGGCAUCUUCCCGAAAACUGGUCCCAGCAGGCCUCAGCAUGUCGUUCUUUGUAAUGGUGCAUAAGCUCGAUAGUUUAACCUGUGGCUGUAUCCGGCUUUGCUAUGUUGUUGCCUCUGCUAUAGCCUGAUGAGCAUAGCCCUUUAGCCAAAUAGAAAUUCCUAAAAUCAUGUAUCAAACACAAAGUUUUGCUUUUGCCCACACCCCAAUAAGUGUGUAUGCAGAGUAAAUAUUGAUAAUCAAACACAGAUGCAUUUUCUUUA